rnacentral:rRNA from 1 species
GUGCCAGCAGCCGCGGUAAUACGUAGGUGACGAGCGUUAUCCGGAUUUACUGGGCGUAAAGCGCUUGUAGGUGGCUCUGUAAGUUGGGCGUGAAAACACCGGGCUUAACUCGGUGACGCCGUCCAAUACUGCGGGGCUGGAGGAUGUCAGAGGAAGGUGGAAUUCCUGGUGUAGUGGUGAAAUGCGUAGAUAUCAGGAGGAACACCCGUGGCGAAGGCGGCCUUCUGGGGCAUUCCUGACACUGAGAAGCGAAAGCUAGGGGAGCAAACAGGAUUAGAAACCCCUGUAGUCC